AAAUAACAACAUGGAAAUUUCCAUUUCAGCCUCUGAUUGACCACAGGCCAAGUCUCCACUUCAGCCUCUGAUUGGUCAUGAGCCAUCUCCACUUUAGCCUCUGAUUGGUUCUUGGGCCAAUCCUUCAUAGGAUAUAACCAACUGGAGGCCUCUAAAGGGCGCCAAGUGGGUGUUACCAAACUCUUUUAGCUUAAUAAGAACCCUAAACAACAUUAUAAUGGGAGCGUUUGAGCUGCUUGUUCAAGCCUGCUCCCACUCUGUAGAGUAUACUUUUGCUUCAAUAAAUCUGUGCUUUCAUUGUUUUGUUUUUUUUUGUUGUUGUUGCUUUGUUUGUAUGUUUUGUUUGAUUCUUUGUUCAGUGCACCAAGAACCUGGACAACUCACAGUCAAGCAUUUCCAUCCCGUAACAGUUGGAGAAUAAGCCUGAGUGACGGGCCUUCCAUUUAGCAGGUGAAUCUCAGCUGCUACGUAAAUCGUCAAAGCCAGAACUUGGAAUGUGAAUAUAGCCAUGAGAGUGCCUCAGCAAGGAGCCAUUAUGAGGUACUGAUAAACUGACCACCCUAUAAAAACCAAGGGGGCCAGGAAGUUAUAAAUGGUUCAGCAGCAUCCAGGGAAGUGGGAAACACUCACAAACCUGAGAUUAUCUGGGGGGACUCUUGAGCAGCGUUGGGGAAGUCACAACCAGUGGUGAGAGGCUACAAAGGCAAGGAGUACGUGGUGUUUGAGGGUAAAUGAUAGGCUGGACCUGGUCAGGGUGGGGAAAGGGAUUUCCUGGGAAGCGACGCUUGUGCUCUGUUUCCCAGGUCCAUGAAGACAAAGCUGUCAAAAAAUAAAAAUAUAAGGCUUCCCAUCCACACCCAUGUAAUACUGUGAACGGAUCUCAGAGUUUGGUGUCAAAACUCACCAAAACAUACACUUAAAUGGGUGCCUUUUAUCAUAUGUAAG
rnacentral:lncRNA from 1 species